UACGUAGGGUGCGAGCGUUAAUCGGAAUUACUGGGCGUAAAGCGUACGCAGGCGGCUUUGCAAGACAGGUGUGAAAUCCCCGGGCCUAACCUGGGAACUGCAUUUGUGACUGCAUAGCUAGAGUUUGUCAGAGGGGGGUGGAAUUCCACGUGUAGCAGUGAAAUGCGUAGAUAUGUGGAGGAACACCGAUGGCGAAGGCAGCCCCCUGGGAUGUGACUGACGCUCAUGUACGAAAGCGUGGGGAGCAAACAGG
rnacentral:rRNA from 1 species